rnacentral:tRNA from 1 species
UGGUAUUUAGUUUAAAAUAAAAUAA